CAGACAGCGAAGCAGAUGGCCGCGCGAGGGGGCGGAGUCCCGGCGGGGCGUGGACGUCGCGAGCUCGACGGAGCCAAUCAAUUCCCUCAGCUGCUCCGGGGCUAGAAAACAAGGGGGAAGAAGAGGAUGGUCAAGAUUGACUGGCUGGAAGAUGAGAGAGCUCCCUCCUGAUGGUUUCUACUUGCCUUUGAAAUUCAUCAGCUAAGGGUGAGGAAGAGAAGUCGGGGUGUGAUUAUAUUAUAGAAGUCUCGUAUGUUUGACCCAACCACAAGAACCAUUGCACCAGAAGGGGCAAAAACCCUCUAAGAGGGAG